AGCGAACGUUAGCGGCACGCCUAACACAUGCAAGUCGCACGAGAAAGGGAGCAAUCCUGAGUAGAGUGGCGCACGGGUGCGUAACACGUAGAUAACCUGCCCUUUGGAGGGGGAUAACGUUCCGAAAGGAGCGCUAAUACCGCAUACAGCAAGAGUCGGUUCGCCGAUUUUUGGCAAAGGUAGGGACCCGCAAGGGCCUACCGCCAGAGGAGGGGUCUGCGGCCCAUCAGCUAGUUGGGA
rnacentral:rRNA from 1 species